AUUGAACGCUGGCGGCAGGCCUAACACAUGCAAGUCGAGCGGAUGAAGGGAGCUUGCUCCUGGAUUCAGCGGCGGACGGGUGAGUAAUGCCUAGGAAUCUGCCUGGUAGUGGGGGAUAACGUCCGGAAACGGGCGCUAAUACCGCAUACGUCCUGAGGGAGAAAUUGGGGGAUCUUCGGACCUCUCGCUAUCAGAUUAGCCUAGGUCGGAUUAGCUAGUUGGUGGGGUAAAGGCCUACCAAGGCGACGAUCCGUAACUGGUCUGAGAGGAUGAUCAGUCACACUGGAACUGAGACACGGUCCAGACUCCUACGGGAGGCAGCAGUGGGGAAUAUUGGACAAUGGGCGAAAGCCUGAUCCAGCCAUGCCGCGUGUGUGAAGAAGGUCUUCGGAUUGUAAAGCACUUUAAGUUGGGAGGAAGGGCAGUAAGUUAAUACCUUGCUGUAUUGACGGUACCAACAGAAGAAGCACCGGCUAACUUCGUG
rnacentral:rRNA from 1 species